rnacentral:lncRNA from 1 species
UUUUUUUUUUUGGUUCUGGAAGUCACAGAGAUUAUGGAUUGCUCUGCAGAGGCAGCCUGCCUGAUGAUGCUAGCACUUUGCAGCACUGGGUUUUUCUGCAGCAGUUUCAUUUUUAUUCUCAUUCAGAGACACAGUGGGUCAGUUCAAUAGAAACAUUUACUCACUGAGGUCAGGGCCUGUGUCUUGUACAGCCUGUUUGUAUGGCCAGGGACUGACAAGGACAAGUAAGUGGGAAGUAUUCUUAAAUGUUGAAUUGCAUUGCAUUGCCUGUCUGCCCCCCACUCCCUACCUUGGUCUUAAACUUGGUCCAAUCAGGUUCUGGAACUAGGAAAAAACAGCUAUCAGGUAUUGGGCAGGAUGGGGACAGGAGGGAUCAGAUUAUACCACUGCUACCUUCCAUGGCUCCAGGAGAAAGUUAAGGUGACAAGAUUGAAGAGUAUCAUGUCCUACCAGAUCUAAUGUUAGUCUCUUCCUCUCAGAGACACACAUGACUAGGAGCUGAAACAUAAUAGGAAUUGGGAUAGGAAUCUGAACCAAUAGAACAGGGACCAUGAAAUGCAGAAAUUAGGAGGGUACAUCACCACCACCAGCAGUAUUUGGGGCUGGAACUGAGAUAGGCUCUUGAUAAGUAGCACUGCCCCAGAGCCCUCUGUGGGCUCCAGGUGAAGCAGCCUUCAAUCAUUUGCGGGGGUGCCUUUUGACUGUCAAGGCAUACUUUGGUGCCUUAAUACCACGAUCGGUGACAUUCCCAAUUCCCCAGAAAGAAAAUUUAAACUCUGUUUUCCAAGAGUACACACACACACACACACACACACACACACACACACACACACAGAGUCUCUCUCUCUCUCCCGACUGUGUUAUAAGCAAAAGUCAAUUUGAGAGGAAGACAAUGAAGUCCCCAAGAGAAAAUCACUGUGAGUAAAGAUACUCUGUCAGAGUGGACCAGACUCAACCAGAGAACCUGAAUCGUGGAGGACAAGAGGUUCCAGGCAGAGCAUGAGACUCUCUCAGUAGUUCUCACCUGAAGUCCCUCAACCUCGAAUCCUAAGAGUUCCAGUAUGUUCUGGAAACGAGGGGCGUGGUCUUAAUUAGAAAACAAAAAUCAAAACGAAACAAAAACAUGUAAACAAAGGUACAAUCAUUCUGGAGUUGGCAUCUUCUCUAAAAGACCUGGAAGACCUGUCCUGCUGGCCAGGGAGGAGCUGACUAUUGGAGGUCAGGGGUUUCGAGGAGGUGGGCAACGGCGGCGGCAGCCAAGGGGGAGGAGGCAGCUGUAGCGCGGCACGGCAGCCCACUCCGAGGACAGAGACGGGAAAAGGAAAGACAUGACUGCACAGCCAAAUGUGGCAGAGUUAGCCACUUUUGCAGUAUAACAUAUUUUAUAUUUUAUUCAAAGUGUUAUCUUCUGCCAGAUCUUGAAAUCUUUCAGAGCUCAGUAUGUGGGUGGGUUCAGCUCCAUAUAUUUUUCAUUAACGUCUACUAGUAGGCCUAGGAUAGUGCAGAGAGACAAGGAUAGUGCAGAGAGACAAGAAAGAACCACGCCAGAAACACAGAUACAGAGAAAACCAGGCUGACAAAAAGAUACAUAGGGAGAGGUACUGGGUGAUCUUGAGAAAAGCCAUUUUCUAGGUUCAGAGGAACACAGAGUUCUAGGAGCAAUUUGGUCAAGAGAUUCAGGAAAGCCUAUUAAGACGGUGUUCUGCGAGACGCUAGUUGCGUACCCCAGGAUGGAGAUCUGGCGGUCCUGGAUUAAGGCUCCCCGAACUGAGAAACGAAGAGAAAUCGCAAAGCUUCAUUGUUUUGUUUGUCCCUUGGUU